AACGAACGCUGGCGGCAGGCCUAACACAUGCAAGUCGAGCGGACCCUUCGGGGUUAGCGGCGGACGGGUGAGUAACGCGUGGGAAUAUGCCCUUCUCUACGGAAUAGUCCUGGGAAACUGGGGGUAAUACCGUAUACGCCCUUUGGGGGAAAGAUUUAUCGGGGAAGGAUUAGCCCGCGUUGGAUUAGGUAGUUGGUGGGGUAAUGGCCUACCAAGCCGACGAUCCAUAGCUGGUUUGAGAGGAUGAUCAGCCACACUGGGACUGAGACACGGCCCAGACUCCUACGGGAGGCAGCAGUGGGGAAUCUUAGACAAUGGGGGCAACCCUGAUCGAGCCAUGCCGCGUGAGUGAUGAAGGCCUUAGGGUUGUAAAGCUCCUUCAGCUGGGAAGAUAAUGACGGUACCAGCAGAAGAAGCCCCGGCUAACUCCGUG
rnacentral:rRNA from 1 species